GAUGAACGCUGGCGGCGUGCCUAAUACAUGCAAGUCGAGCGAACGGACGAGAAGCUUGCUUCUCUGAUGUUAGCGGCGGACGGGUGAGUAACACGUGGAUAACCUACCUAUAAGACUGGGAUAACUUCGGGAAACCGGAGCUAAUACCGGAUAAUAUUUUGAACCGCAUGGUUCAAAAGUGAAAGACGGUCUUGCUGUCACUUAUAGAUGGAUCCGCGCCGCAUUAGCUAGUUGGUAAGGUAACGGCUUACCAAGGCAACGAUGCAUAGCCGACCUGAGAGGGUGAUCGGCCACACUGGAACUGAGACACGGUCCAGACUCCUACGGGAGGCAGCAGUAGGGAAUCUUCCGCAAUGGGCGAAAGCCUGACGGAGCAACGCCGCGUGAGUGAUGAAGGUCUUCGGAUCGUAAAACUCUGUUAUUAGGGAAGAACAUAUGUGUAAGUAACUGUGCACAUCUUGACGGUACCUAAUCAGAAAGCCACGGCUAACUACGUGCCAGCAGCCGCGGUAAUACGUAGGUGGCAAGCGUUAUCCGGAAUUAUUGGGCGUAAAGCGCGCGUAGGCGGUUUUUUAAGUCUGAUGUGAAAGCCCACGGCUCAACCGUGGAGGGUCAUUGGAAACUGGAAAACUUGAGUGCAGAAGAGGAAAGUGGAAUUCCAUGUGUAGCGGUGAAAUGCGCAGAGAUAUGGAGGAACACCAGUGGCGAAGGCGACUUUCUGGUCUGUAACUGACGCUGAUGUGCGAAAGCGUGGGGAUCAAACAGGAUUAGAUACCCUGGUAGUCCACGCCGUAAACGAUGAGUGCUAAGUGUUAGGGGGUUUCCGCCCCUUAGUGCUGCAGCUAACGCAUUAAGCACUCCGCCUGGGGAGUACGACCGCAAGGUUGAAACUCAAAGGAAUUGACGGGGACCCGCACAAGCGGUGGAGCAUGUGGUUUAAUUCGAAGCAACGCGAAGAACCUUACCAAAUCUUGACAUCCUUUGACAACUCUAGAGAUAGAGCCUUCCCCUUCGGGGGACAAAGUGACAGGUGGUGCAUGGUUGUCGUCAGCUCGUGUCGUGAGAUGUUGGGUUAAGUCCCGCAACGAGCGCAACCCUUAAGCUUAGUUGCCAUCAUUAAGUUGGGCACUCUAAGUUGACUGCCGGUGACAAACCGGAGGAAGGUGGGGAUGACGUCAAAUCAUCAUGCCCCUUAUGAUUUGGGCUACACACGUGCUACAAUGGACAAUACAAAGGGCAGCGAAACCGCGAGGUCAAGCAAAUCCCAUAAAGUUGUUCUCAGUUCGGAUUGUAGUCUGCAACUCGACUACAUGAAGCUGGAAUCGCUAGUAAUCGUAGAUCAGCAUGCUACGGUGAAUACGUUCCCGGGUCU
rnacentral:rRNA from 1 species